CCCCAAUUAUGCUUUUAGAAAUUUUCCUAAACGAAAGGAGAUUGCUAACAGAACAAGAGUCUUAAAACUGCAUGAAAUUCUACACUGAGAGUCUUGAAGAAAGGCUGUUCAAACAAAAACUCCAUGAGACCAGGAGAGGACAUUCUUAUGUAUGUUCGUGGACUUCUAUAAAAUGACACUUUCAGAAGACAGAGGACUCUUCUUGUCCUUCGGAUGGCUUUAUCUCACCAAUGCUCAAAAAAAAUGAGUCACUAUGUCCACCUAGCUCAAGGAGAAGUUGUGUCCGAAAUUGGUGGGUUCUUGGUCUCGCUGACUUCAAGAAUGAAGCCACGGACCCUCUCGGUGAGUGUUACAGUUCUUAAAGAUGGUGUGUCCAGAGUUUGUUCCUUCUGAUGUUUGGAUGUGUGUUUGGAGUUUCUUCCUUCUGGUGGGUUCUUGGUCUCACUGGCUUCAGGAGUGAAGCUGCACACCUUAGCGGUGUGUUACAGCUCUUAAAGUGGCACAUCUGGAGUUGUUCAUUCCUCCCAUCUGAAGUUUGUUCACCCCAGCCAGAGUUGUUCAUUCCUCCUGGUGGGUUCAUGGUCUCACUGGCCUCAGGAGUGAAGCUGCAGACCUUCAUGGUGAGUUUUAC